ensembl:lncRNA
CUGCAGGACUUCUUGGUUGCUUCUAAUUUUGGCAAUUAUGAAAGAAGCUGCCAUAAAGAUUCACCUGCAGAUUUUUGUGUACACAUGUAUUCAACCUAUUUGAAUGAAUAUCAGGAACUGAACCUGUGUCUGCUUCAUUGGCAGGUGGGUUCUUUACCACCGAACCAUCAGGGAAACCGUUAGCCCAUCUACUAGUUGUUUAAGUGGCCCAGAAAACUCCUGCUCAAGUUGAAUUAAGUUAUUCUGGAUGUCAUUUCCCCCCAGGUAUCUAACUAGAGGAAAGCAAGAACCUAGACUUCAAAUUACAAAUAACUUACCAAAUACAGUGUAAUGCAUUAAAUCAAGGAUAACCAAAGAGAAAAGAAAGUAUCAAUGAGAAUCAGCACAACAGAGGAGGAUAUAGAGAGUUAUAGGAGUUCUGGAUGUUGGAGCUAUCACAUAUAGACUUAAAAGCCAACACUGAGUAUGUUAGAAGUCAUUUUGUAAAGCAUAAGUUAACAGAGAACGUAAAAUGACAAAAAGACAGAAGGCUUAAACAAAUAUGAAUUCUAGAACUGUAAAUUGUAAAAGAUAGGAUAAAUAAGUUUAUGGAUAGUUUAACAGCAGAGUAGAUGUAAAUAAAAGAGAAUUGGAGAAUUUAAAAGAGAUCACAAGGAAAUAUAAGUAGUGUAUUAUGGAGAGAGAGCUCAGAAGGAAAUAUAAGUAGUAUAUUAUGGAGAGACAGAAAGAUAGACAAUAUAGAAAAAAGAGUAAGAAACAGAGAAGUUACAAUCAUUAGACCUAGUAUGAUUUUAUUUGGAGUCCACAUUCAAGUGAUGAUAGCUGACAAUUUUCCAAAACUUAUUGAAAAACCAAUUCAUAGAUUCAAGAGAUCACGCUAAAUCCUAAGGAAGAUUCUAACAGAAACUCAGUUAGAUUAUCAUAGGAAAACUACUGAAAACAAAAGACAAAGAAAAUCUUAAAACUAUUCAGAGGAAAAAUGAAAUAAAAAAGAGGAGGGAUUAGUUACAUGGAAAAACAACAAUAAAUUAUAGAUGACUUCUAAACAAUUAAUGGAAACAAAAAUAAUAGUUAAUUCAGUGUUUUUAAGGCUGCUGAAUAUUUAUAUCUAUAAUGUACAUUUUUUAAAUGAAAAAUUAUGAAAAAAUGAAGAUUUUUUUAGACUAAUUUGAGGAAAUAANNNNNNNNNNNNNNNNNNNNNNNNNCUUCUCAACCAAGAUUUUUAAAAGAUAUAAAUAGUAUUAUAUAAAUUUUUAUUUUGAGUCAAGCAUAAGGCUAUAAUGGAUUUCUAACACAUUUAUGUUAUGGGGAUCCAGUUAUGGUCACAUAUAAGAGUAUAAUUUAGAAGAUAUCAGAAAAUCUGCUAUGUAAAAAAAUAUUUUGUUGGAUCCCCACUUACAAAAAUUAACCUGAAAUGGAAUAAGAACUUAAAUUUAAAGCCUGAAAACAUAAAACUCCUAGAAGAAAACCUAGGGUAAAUGUUCCCAGAAAUUGGUUGCAGCAAGGAUUUUUGGAUAUGACACAAAAACACAAGGAAAACAAACAAAAACUGACAAGUGGGACUACAUCAAAUUGAAAAGCUUCUGUACAAUAAAAUAGUCAACAACAUGAAAAGGCAACCUAUGGAGUAGGAGGUAAUAUCUAUAAACCACAAAUAUGAACCACACAUCUGAUGAGAGAUUAAUAUCCAAAAUUAAUAAGGAAAUUAUACACCUAAAUGGGAAAAAUAAUCUGAUUUAAAAGUGGGCAAACAACCUGCAUAAAU